AUUGAACGCUGGCGGCAGGCCUAACACAUGCAAGUCGAACGAGCGGCGGACGGGUGAGUAAUGUCUGGGAAUCUGCCCGAUGGAGGGGGAUAACUACUGGAAACGGUAGCUAAUACCGCAUACUAUCGGAUGAACCCAUAUGGGAUUAGCUAGUAGGUGGGGUAACGGCUCACCUAGGCGACGAUCUCUAGCUGGUCUGAGAGGAUGAUCAGCCACACUGGAACUGAGACACGGUCCAGACUCCUACGGGAGGCAGCAGUGGGGAAUAUUGCACAAUGGGCGCAAGCCUGAUACAGCCAUGCCGCGUGUAUGAAGAAGGCCUUAGGGUUGUAAAGUACUUUCAGCGGGGAGGCGUUACCCGCAGAAGAAGCACCGGCUAACUCCGUGCCAGCAGCCGCGGUAAUAC
rnacentral:rRNA from 1 species